GUGUCAGCCGCCGCGGUAAAACCAGCACCUCAAGUGGUCAGGAGGAUUAUUGGGCCUAAAGCAUCCGUAGCCUGUUCUAUAAGUUUCCGGUUAAAUCCAUUAGCUCAACUAAUGGGCCGCCGAAAAUACUGUGGAACUAGGGAGUGGGAGAGGUAGACGGUACUCGGUAGGAAGGGGUAAAAUCCUUUGAUCUAUUGAUGACCACCUGUGGCGAAGGCGGUCUACCAGAACACGUUCGACGGUGAGGGAUGAAAGCUGGGGGAGCAAACCGGAUUAGAUACCCGGGUAGUCCCAGCUGUAAACGAUGCAGACUCGGUGAUGCGCUGGCUUGUGGCCAGUGCAGUGCCGCAGGGAAGCCGUUAAGUUUGCCGCCUGGGAAGUACGUACGCAAGUAUGAAACUUAAAGGAAUUGGCGGGGGAGCACCACAAGGGGUGAAGCCUGCGGUUCAAUUGGAGUCAACGCCAGAAAUCUUACCCGAAGAGACAGCAGAAUGAAGGUCAAGCUGGAGACUUUACCAGACAAGCUGAGAAGUGGUGCAUGGCCGUCGCCAGCUCGUGCCGUGAGAUGUCCUGUUAAGUCAGGUAACGAGCGAGAUCCCUGCCUCUAGUUGCCACCAUUACUCUCAGGAGUAGUGGGGCGAAUUAGCGGGACCGCCGCAGUUAAUGCGGAGGAAGGAAGGGGCCACGGCAGGUCAGUAUGCCCUGAAACUUUGGGGCCACACGCGGGCUGCAAUGGUAGCGACAAUGGGUUCCGAAUCCGAAAGGUGGAGGUAAUCCUCAAACACUACCACAGUUAUGAUUGAGGGCUGCAACUCGUCCUCAUGAAUAUGGAAUCCCUAGUAACUGCGUGUCAUUACCGCGCGGUGAAUACGUCCCUGCUCCUUGCACACACCGCCCGUC
rnacentral:rRNA from 1 species